GUGGAUAAGUUAUACAACCAGCACUCCUGGUUCUCGUUCUUGAUAUUUAAUAGGCUAUUUCUAGAACUCAUUUGGGCAGUAAAUCCAGCAUAAUCUGUAGAGAAUAUUCUCACGAUUUGCAGUAGCUUUUAGAACAAGUUAAAUUCAGAAUCAUUAAUCAUAUACUUUCUCUUCUCUCUCCUCCUCUCUCCAACCUCACGCUUUUUCUUAUGAUCUUAAAAUAUUAUGUGGUGCCAUAAAUAUAUUUUGAAGUGAAAAUUUUUACAUUCUUUCACAUAAGUACCCACUAGUCCUGUCUGAAAGCACUAGAAGCUUCACGGUACGGGACGCGAGCAGCUUCGGAUACGGCGCGUUCAGACUGGAGUCCGUGGAGGUCAACGCGCUGGGAAUGCGACCACUUCCCUAUUUGCAACGCGGACGAAGCCUCCUGCGGAGCCCGUUGUUUCCAUGACAACCCCUCCCAGCACCGCCUCCCACCCCCGCACAGCCUGUCACACCUGGUGCCACCUUCUGGCCCUCGAGGGGCAGGACGCUGCGCCCAGGGGCGCUCCAAACUCCUGGUGGCCCUGGAGCCGAGCUGGGGUGAUGGAGGCAACCCGCUCCAGCCCCUUUACCGGCACACACACGGCUUUUUGCUAAUCACAGAUCAGAACUCAGGCAAAGGAAGCCGUGGCCUCCCCAGGUCGGAUGGGGAGAACGCCUCUGUGUGGUAUGGGAUCUAUAGCUCAAAGUGCCCCCAGCCUGGGCCCUCGGGGUCUUCGGAGGCAGCUCGCUGAGGCUGGGGGCUUCGGGGUGCAGGACGGGGUCUGCUCCGAGACAGCCAGGAGGUGAGCGGGAUGGGAGAGGGAACAAGGGCAGAAAGACCCUGAGAGGGGCGCCCGGCCUGCCUGCCCUGAUCUUUUACGAGACGACAGGUCCCAAGUAAAGUCACUUAUACUGAGCCCAUGUCAUCACACUGAGCCCUAACUGCAUUAGUCUCUGCUCUCCCAGAAACGGAAUCUUACACCGGUCAACUGGGAAUGGCCGUCCAGCGCCGGCGAGGUCAUGCGCCCGGUGGACCCCGGGCGUGCCCUGAAGGGAGUGACCUUGCCGCAACUAGCCUGCUGUUUGCUGGCGUGACCUCCUUGCUCCCGCCCCCUCUCCCUGUAAAGUCUCACUGCGUGCAGCCCCUCGGAGCGCCCUCCGUCUGCUGGAGGGGAUGCCGCUAAUUGGAAUCAAGUUUUGCACGAAUAAACUCUUAAAAACUUUAAUA